rnacentral:rRNA from 1 species
GAGUAAUGUCUGGGAAACUGCCUGAUGGAGGGGGAUAACUACUGGAAACGGUAGCUAAUACCGCAUAACGUCGCAAGACCAAAGAGGGGGACCUUAGGGCCUCUUGCCAUCGGAUGUGCCCAGAUGGGAUUAGCUAGUAGGUGGGGUAAAGGCUCACCUAGGCGACGAUCCCUAGCUGGUCUGAGAGGAUGACCAGCCACACUGGAACUGAGACACGGUCCAGACUCCUACGGGAGGCAGCAGUGGGGAAUAUUGCACAAUGGGCGCAAGCCUGAUGCAGCCAUGCCGCGUGUAUGAAGAAGGCCUUCGGGUUGUAAAGUACUUUCAGCGGGGAGGAAGGGAGUAAAGUUAAUACCUUUGCUCAUUGACGUUACCCGCAGAAGAAGCACCGGCUAACUCCGUGCCAGCAGCCGCGGUAAUACGGAGGGUGCAAGCGUUAAUCGGAAUUACUGGGCGUAAAGCGCACGCAGGCGGUUUGUUAAGU